rnacentral:piRNA from 7 species
GUGGUUCAGUGGUAGAAUUCUCGCCUGCC